UACGGAGGGGGCAAGCGUUGUUCGGAAUUACUGGGCGUAAAGGGCGCGUAGGCGGCCUGUUAAGUCGAACGUGAAAUCCCCGGGCUCAACCCGGGAACUGCGUCCGAUACUGGCAGGCUUGAAUUCGGGAGAGGGAUGCGGAAUUCCAGGUGUAGCGGUGAAAUGCGUAGAUAUCUGGAGGAACACCGGUGGCGAAGGCGGCAUCCUGGACCGAGAUUGACGCUGAUGCGCGAAAGCCAGGGGAGCAAACGGG
rnacentral:rRNA from 1 species